rnacentral:rRNA from 1 species
AGAACUUAGCAGAGAUGCUUGGUGCCUUCGGGAACGUCUGAGACAGGUGCUGCAUGGCUGUCGUCAGCUCGUGUUGUGAAAUGUUGGGUUAAGUCCCGCAACGAGCGCAACCCUUAUCCUUUGUUGCCAGCGGUUAGGCCGGGAACUCAAAGGAGACUGCCAGUGAUAAACUGGAGGAAGGUGGGGAUGACGUCAAGUCAUCAUGGCCCUUACGAGUAGGGCUACACACGUGCUACAAUGGCGCAUACAAAGAGAAGCGACCUCGCGAGAGCAAGCGGACCUCAUAAAGUGCGUCGUAGUCCGGAUUGGAGUCUGCAACUCGACUCCAUGAAGUCGGAAUCGCUAGUAAUCGUGGAUCAGAAUGCCACGGUGAAUACGUUCCCGGGCCUUGUACACACCGCCCGUCACACCAUGGGAGUGGGUUGCAAAAGAAGUAGGUAGCUUAACCUUCGGGAGGGCGCUUACCACUUUGUGAUUCAUGACUGGGGUGAAGUCGUAACAAGGUAAGCGUAGUGCU